GCAGUCGAGGGGUAUAGUUCUUCGGAGCUAGAGACCGGCGCACGGGUGCGUAACGCGUAUGCAAUCUACCUUUCACAGAGGGAUAGCCCAGAGAAAUUUGGAUUAAUACCUCAUAGUAUUAUUGGGUGGCAUCACUUAAUAAUUAAAGUCACAACGGUGAAAGAUGAGCAUGCGUCCCAUUAGCUAGUUGGUAAGGUAACGGCUUACCAAGGCUACGAUGGGUAGGGGUCCUGAGAGGGAGAUCCCCCACACUGGUACUGAGACACGGACCAGACUCCUACGGGAGGCAGCAGUGAGGAAUAUUGGACAAUGGGCGCAAGCCUGAUCCAGCCAUGCCGCGUGCAGGAUGACGGUCCUAUGGAUUGUAAACUGCUUUUGUACGAGAAGAAACACUCCAACGUGUUGGAGCUUGACGGUAUCGUAAGAAUAAGGAUCGGCUAACUCCGUGCCAGCAGCCGCGGUAAUACGGAGGAUCCAAGCGUUAUCCGGAAUCAUUGGGUUUAAAGGGUCCGUAGGCGGUUUAGUAAGUCAGUGGUGAAAGCCCAUCGCUCAACGGUGGAACGGCCAUUGAUACUGCUGAACUUGAAUUAUUAGGAAGUAACUAGAAUAUGUAGUGUAGCGGUGAAAUGCUUAGAGAUUACAUGGAAUACCAAUUGCGAAGGCAGGUUACUACUAAUGGAUUGACGCUGAUGGACGAAAGCGUGGGUAGCGAACAGGAUUAGAUACCCUGGUAGUCCACGCCGUAAACGAUGGAUACUAGCUGUUGGAAGCAAUUUCAGUGGCUAAGCGAAAGUGAUAAGUAUCCCACCUGGGGAGUACGUUCGCAAGAAUGAAACUCAAAGGAAUUGACGGGGGCCCGCACAAGCGGUGGAGCAUGUGGUUUAAUUCGAUGAUACGCGAGGAACCUUACCAAGGCUUAAAUGUAGAUGA
rnacentral:rRNA from 1 species